GCCGCCAGCAGUUCAGCGCUAGAGUGUUGCCCUCAGUGGUAUUGACUCAAGCCACAUUUUCCCUAAGCUCGUCUUUGUCCUUUUGGGCAAUUUUGUAUUUGCUCUUUGCAGACUGGAUUUCUAUGCCUGACCUUAUCUUUGAAGAAUCCUCAUCAACUUGGAUGUUUUUGUCACUGGAGAAGGCUUUCCUUGCCAGGUGGAUUAUACCUGGAUUGCCAACACUUUGCUUCUUAAGUUACUGGCUGGCGGCUAUUCCGACGGUGCCUUUCCUGGAACAACUAUGGACCACCACAACCGAACUCUGUCCACCCUCCCACACAAUAACAUCGUCAGCCGAACCUCAGAAUACCUCAAGGUGAGUCCAAGUACCUACCAGCUCAGUUCAUCUCAGUGUGCAGUUCCAUUGUUGUCUCACCCCCUCCCGGCGGAUGAAACUCCACUCCCUAUUGUCUUCCGGUUCCAGCUCCACUCUCCUUUACCCGCUCAAUGUAAAAUAAAACCUCUUGUAAAUCUUCA